CCUACGGGAGGCAGCAGUCGGGAAUAUUGCGCAAUGGAGGAAACUCUGACGCAGUGACGCCGCGUGCAGGAAGAAGGCUCUCGGAUUGUAAACUGCCUUAGACAGGGAAGAAAAAAGACAGUACCUGUAGAAUAAGCUUCGGCUAACUACGUGCCAGCAGCCGCGGUAAUACGGCGGGAGCAAGCGUUAUUCGGAUUGAUUGGGUGUAAAGGGUGCGUAGGUGGAGAAGCAAGUUAGUUGUGAAAUCCCUCGGCUUAACUGAGGAACUGCAACUAAAACUACUUCCCUUGAGUACUGGAGAGGAAGGUGGAAUUCCUGGUGUAGCGGUGAAAUGCGUAGAUAUUAGGAAGAACACCGGUGGCGAAGGCGACUUUCUGGACAGUAACUGACGUUGAGGCACGAAAGUGUGGGGAGCAAACAGGAUUAGAUACCCGAGUAGUC
rnacentral:rRNA from 1 species